UUACGGCCAUACCAUGUUGAAACACCAGUUCUCGUACGACCACCAAAGUUAAGCAACGUCGAACAUGGCCAGUACCUAGAUUGGUUACCGCUUGGUUAUACGAGGUGCAGUAA